CAUUUUCUUAUUUUUGACAUUGUUUUAUUUGACGACCGGUCUGGCCUAGUGGGUAGUGACCCUGCCUAUGAAGCCGAUGGUCCCGGGUUCAAAUCCUGGUAAGGGCAUUUAUUCGUGUGAUGAGCACAGAUAUUUGUUCCUGAGUCAUGGGUGUUUUCUAUGUAUUAAAGUAUUUAUAAAUAUUUAUACAGGCUCUACACCGUGUUUUUAUUGAAUUCCGUUAACUUCGGGGUAUAGUUAAGUACGUUUAUAAGAACUAAAUGGCAUAGUUAAUUUUCAAAAAAAAAAAAUUUUUUUUGUUUUCUUUUAUGUUUUUUUUUUGUUUAAAAAGUAAUUAAAUGUAGCAUAUAGCGUUGUUGUAACACGGGCAUUACAUUUAACUCAACCAAACAAUUGAAAU